UACGUAGGGGCCAAGCGUUGUCCGGAUUUAUUGGGCGUAAAGAGCUCGUAGGCGGCUUGGUCAGUCCCGUGUGAAAUCCCUCGGCUCAACUGAGGAACUGCACGGGAAACUGCCUGGCUUGAGUUCGGGAGAGGGAAGCGGAAUUCCGGGUGUAGCGGUGAAAUGCGUAGAUAUCCGGAGGAACACCGGUGGCGAAGGCGGCUUCCUGGACCGACACUGACGCUGAGGCGCGAAAGCUAGGGGAGCAAACGGG
rnacentral:rRNA from 1 species